CGGAGCCUGGAUUGAAGCACAUGUGCGCAGUCUCCUCCCUUUCUCCCGGGAAGUAGUAUUUACCGCAGCCCAACUGCGGGUUGGGAACAUUCAGGAUGUCAUCAUCUGAACAGAAUACAGCUCACAGGGAUCAGUCUCUCCAGCCUCUUGAUCCAGUCAAGCGUUUAUUUGGCACCGAUAAUGAAGUGUAUCUGGAGAGCGAAUUGUGAAACGUUGAACUUCUGUUUUUAUAUUGAUUUUAUUUGUUUACAUUUUAUUAUGUGAGUGUUAUUACAUAUGUCGACUUUGGACUAAACACAGCGGACCUGCGUUGUUUGGUGUGCUAGUGAUUUGGUGCUCGUGCUUGAACCGUGUAUCUGGAUGAAAUAAGAGUUUGAGGUUCUAAAACUAGACAUCAGUGGCGUGUUUUUCGGUGUGUCCCCGAUCGUGGUCAGUGCUGUACAGCGGUUCAUGGUCACCCGUGCGUAACCAAUCACAUGGCCGCUCUGGAGUGAAGCAAGCCUCGCCACAGAACCACAGGUCGACCCACUCCCGUUCUCCACACCGCAGCGAUGCCUCCCGGUGUUGUAGCCCCGUCUCCACGGAGCUCUCCGGUCCGGUGCUUCUACGCCUUGACACCGUACUUCAUAGAGGACUCUGUCAUUUCCCAGAGCAAGAUUGAUCAGCUGGUCGUACAGAGACAGAGGACACUGGUUCAUCCACACAGGGUCGUACAGAGACAGAGGACACUGGUUCAUCCACACAGGGUCGUACAGAGACAGAGGACACUGGUUCAUCCACACAGGGUGAGACAGAGGACACUGGUUCAUCCACACAGGGUCGUACAGAGACAGAGGACACUGGUUCAUCCACACAGGGUCGUACAGAGACAGAGGACACUGGUUCAUCCACACAGGGUCGUACAGAGACAGAGGACACUGAAUCAAGCAGCCUACCAGAUGAUACGAAGUGCUCAUUGAAACAAUUCAGCAUUUCAGUUUUGUCAUUUUCAGUACAUGUGACGGUAAUUUCAUUAACAUUACUGUUACCAGACAGACUUAAUAGCCUUCCAGAACGUUCUAGGGUCAUUCAGGUUCAGUGGUAACACAUACAAUAUUCAGACUUGGCCUUCCUGAGAUGAAAAUGACACGUUUCGUAACUGGCUAAAAAGAAGCCAAUCAGCAUCAGAACAUGAUU
ensembl:lncRNA